CAUUGUGGCUAAAUCUUGGGCAUAUAUAGAGAAUCGCACCCAAGUGUCUUCUGAUAUCAAUUGUAUCAACACCAGUUGAUAAAGUUACAAAUAUCCGAGGCUAGCGGAGGAUAUUUUAACUUUUAUCAACGAG